UGGGGAAUCUUGCGCAAUGGACGAAAGUCUGACGCAGCGACGCCGCGUGUGGGAGGACGCCUUUCGGGGUGUAAACCACUGUUGCCCGGGACGAACACCUUCUUUCGAGGAGGCUGACGGUACCGGGUGAGGAAGCACCGGCUAACUCCGUGCCAGCAGCCGCGGUAAUACGGAGGGUGCGAGCGUUGUCCGGAAUCAUUGGGCGUAAAGGGCGCGUAGGUGGCGCGGCAAGCGUGCGGUGAAAGCUCGGGGCUCAACCCCGAGUCGGCCGUGCGAACUGCCGCGCUCGAGCACUGUAGAGGCAGGCGGAAUUCCGGGUGUAGCGGUGGAAUGCGUAGAGAUCCGGAAGAACACCGGUGGCGAAGGCGGCCUGCUGGGCAGUGGCUGACACUGAGGCGCGACAGCGUGGGGAGCAAACAG
rnacentral:rRNA from 1 species